UCCCAUCAGAACUCCGCA
rnacentral:snRNA from 1 species